CUUCGGAGCAUUUUACGAGGUGCUGCAUGGUUGUCGUCAGCUCGUGCCGUGAGGUGUCGGGUUAAGUCCCAUAACGAGCGCAACCCCUACCUUAGUUGCCAUCAGGUAAUGCUGGGGACUCUAAAGGAACUGCCUACGCAAGUAGUGAGGAAGGCGGGGAUGACGUCAAAUCAGCAGGCCCUUACGUCCAGGGCUACACACGUGCUACAAUGGCCGAUACAGAGGGCAGCUACCUGGUGACAGGAUGCAAAUCUACCAAAGUCGGUCUCAGUUCGGAUCGGAGUCUGCAACCCGACUCCGUGAAGUUGGAUUCGCUAGUAAUCGCGCAUCAGCCAUGGCGCGGUGAAUACGUUCCCGGGCCUU
rnacentral:rRNA from 1 species